rnacentral:rRNA from 1 species
AUUGAACGCUGGCGGCAGGCCUAACACAUGCAAGUCGAGCGGACGAAGGGAGCUUGCUCCUGGAUUCAGCGGCGGACGGGUGAGUAAGGCCUAGGAAGAUGCCUGGUAGUGGGGGAUAAGGUACGGAAAGGGGCGCUAAUACCGUAUACGUUCUGAGGGAGAAAGGGGGGGAUCAUCGGACCUCAAGGGAUCAGAUGAGCCUAGGUGGGGUUAGCGAGUUGGAGGGGUAAAGGCCUACCAGGGCGACGAUCCGUACCUGGUCUGAGAGGAUGAUCAGUCACACUGGAACUGAGACACGGUCCAGACCCCUACGGGAGGCAGCAGUGGGAAAUAUUGGACAAUGGGCGAAAGCCUGAGCCACCCCUGCCGCGUGUGUGAAGAAGGUCUCCGGAUUUUAAAGCCUUUUAAGUUGGGAGAAAGAGCAGUAAGUUAAUACCUUGCUGUUUGGCCGUACCCAACAGAAUAAGCACCGGCUACCUUCGG